CGUAUAUUUAAGUUGUUGCAGUUAAAAAGCUCGUAGUUGGAUUUCGGGUGGGUUCCAGCGGUCUGCCUCUGGUAUGUACUGCUGUGGCCUACCUUUCUGCCGGGGACGUGUUCCUGGGCUUCAUUGUCCGGGACUCGAAUUCGGCGAGGAUACUUUGAGUAAAACAGCGUGUUCAAAGCAAGCCUACGCUCUGAAUGCAUUAGCAUGGAAUAUCACGAUAGGACUCUGGCCUAUCUUGUUGGUCUGUAGGACCGGAGUAAUGAUUAAGAGGGACAGUCGGGGG
rnacentral:rRNA from 1 species